rnacentral:rRNA from 1 species
UGCGCAGGCGGUUUUGUAAGACAGUGGUGAAAUCCCGGGGCUCAACCCCGGAACUGCCUUUGAUACUGGAAGUCUUGAGUAUGGUAGAGGUGAGUGGAAUUCCGAGUGUAGAGGUGAAAUUCGUAGAUAUUCGGAGGAACACCAGUGGCGAAGGCGGCUCACUGGACCAUUACUGACGCUGAGGUGCGAAAGCGUGGGGAGCAAACAGGAUUAGAUACCCGCGUA